rnacentral:lncRNA from 1 species
CCGGCCUUUAAAACCUGAAAAUGUUAAGUAUGGGAUAAGCAUACAGGGUACACUCAAUGUGAGAACAUGCAAUAAUUGUCCACGUUAAUAAAAUGGUAACACAUAUGAUCAUAACAUUUCAUUACAUUUGCUCGCACGGUGGCAUACCAAGGACCUUUCCGUCCUGGACCCAUUCAACGGGCCCCUGGCGAUAAUAUAAUGGUUGCAACCUUAACUUUUACAUUUAUAUCACAUUGUGGCAUACCAAGGAUCUUUCCAUCCUGGACCCAUUCAACAGGCCCCUAGCGAUAUCCUCAAAAUAUACGUCAUAACACAUAUGGUAAACACAAAUUAUUAAAAUGGACAAUAAAUAAUCACGGUAUGUAUUUAAAUAAAUCUCACACCUAAAACUUGAGCUUUGAAAAAUUCAAUUUACUCGUCCAGCACCGUACAAUUACUAAAUAUAUACUUUAGUAUUAUGCUAUAAAUUAAUUGUAUAAGAUUGGUAAAGUGUUGGGGAUGAAAAAAUAAGAAAACUGUCGAGAGUAUAUAUAUAUAAGCAGAAAAUUUGUAUAGCUAGCUUGCAUGAGUCACAAGCCUAUUAUCUUAGGCUUAACUAUUCACUACUAGUUUUCCUUGCAAGCAAGACACGUGGCUUUGUGGGAAAGGUACAUAGCUACACUAUUAGGUAUACAAUACACACAUAUAUAAUAGGGUUAAUUGCAUGUAAUAUCAUGAACUUAACGCGAAAUCCAAAUUUAGCACGAAUUUAAAAAGUUCCAAUUAAUAUCACUACCUAUGCCCCGUGUCCAAUUUUAGCACCGUUUUUUGACGUGGCUUGUCGGCACAUGCUUCGAUCCUACGUGGCUUGCCGGUACAAGCUUCCGACCGGCGAGCCAAGCUCUCUCUCUCUCUUUCUCUCUCUCUCUCUCUCUCUCCNGGCGAUAAUUAAAUGGUUGCAACCUUAACUUUUACAUUUAAUCGCAUUGUGGCAUACCAAGGACCUUUCCGUCCUGGACCCAUUCAACGGGCCCCUAGCGAUAUCCUCAAAAUAUACGUCAUAACACAUAUUGUAAACACAUAAUAUUAAAAUGGACAAUAAUUAACCACGUGCAUGUAUUAAAAUAAAUCCCACACCUGAAACUUGAACUUGAAGGCUAACUUGAGAAAUUCAAUCAAAAGUUACGUCAUAGUCGCGCUGCACCUAGUCAGAUAAAUUCAAAUAAUAUAAUAUGAGGGUCUAUUUAUGAAAAUAAUUUAAUACUUAAAAAUCUAUUCUUUAAAAUCCUUAAAAACAUUGUCUUAGUUAAUAAAACAAAAUAAAAUAUUUAAAGAUCUUUUAAUUAAUAACAAAUCCAAUUUCAAUUAAAAAAAAAAAGUAAAGCCCAAAUUAAAGGUUAAUUUAAUAAUAAAAUAAGAGCCCAUCCCAAGCCCACCAUCCAACCAAAUUUUAAAACCUCAAUUGACUUCCACACACAACUCACGACACCCUAACUCCCUCUCUCUCUCUCUCUCGGCCUCCUGCUGCCGCCGCUAGAGGCCGGCGGCUCUGCCUCCCCAUCCCGUUUCCUCAACCUCUCUCCCUCUACCCUCAUCUCUCGCUCCCCGUCGAUCUCUCUCCCUCUCCCUCAUCUCUCGCCUCCCCCUGUCCUCUCCUCACCGCGCCCAGCUGCGGCCGCUCCGACGACCUUCGCCGCCUGCCAGAUCUGGCGCCCUCUUCCUUAUCCGGCCGGCAGAAACGGCCACCGCCUCCCCUCUUCCAUCUUCUCGGCUCGACUACAGCCGCGCCCAAAGAUCAUCUCCAAUUCCUCUCUACCAGUCUAUGUGUUAGAUUUGUUUCUAUUUGUUUCAGAUACUAUUAAGUUAUUUAUUAAGCAUCUGAAUUGCAAAUGAGUUGUUAUUUCAAAGGUAUGGUAUCAUGGAUAUGAGGAUUAUUGUUUUGAGGUUUAGGCUGUAAAUAUUGUAUCUGCAAGACUGCAACGAUAUAGAUCAAAUACAGGAGAUAAAUUUUGAAAUAAAACUAUGAGAAUUUACAGAAAUAAUAAAAUUACCAUUCGGAGCUUUGCAGAUGAAACGAAACGGGGUAAAGUUUCGAGGAUCGAAUGUUUGAAUUUGUACAGAUGUUUGGAAAAAUUCCAGAAAAUGAAACGUGAAGGCUGGAAUAAAUGUGGUGAAAUUGGCAUGAUACGUGGUUGAAAACAUAUGAAAUAAGCAUAUGUGGCUGGUAUGGAUGAGCAACACGUAAG